GUUUUCUUCCAGCUGCCGGACCAGCGGGCCUGCCGCCUCUACGGACCAGUCCCUGCUCAGGUGUCACUUUUGCUGGCAGGCCGAGAUUAGGGCAGGAGAGUGGGCAAGGCGUCGCGGCCAGGAGGAGAAGGGCUCUACCACGCCACCCUCCUUUGGCCUCCGAACGCGGACCCCGCACACACACACCCGCGCCUCUUUGGCAAGCGUGCCUUGUCGGCUGGGUUAAGCCGCAGUGUGAGUAGCCAAGUGCAGAGGGUGUCUCCGGGUGUGUGCGUGGCCCACAAGAGGGCAAGAAGAGAGAAGGCGGGGAUAGGAGGGAAGAGGGUGGGGGUGAGAGGCAGCCCUGAGAGGGCGGAGGAAGGAAGAGGCUGGGAGCUCGGCGCCCGCGGCGCAGCUGCCGUCGCUGCCGCAGCUGUCCAGGGAGGAUCGCCAAAACGGCGACGAAUAAACAACUUACCUUGCGGAGAAGAGCUACGACUGCGAUGCGGUGUACGGUUGUUUUUGCUUUUGCGUUGGCGGCUUAGGGGCUGUUACUGUGUCCCACCCAGGCGUGCACACCGAGCGGCGGGGCGCUGUGGAACGCGGGAGCGGACUAGCGGAGGAGGAUGCGGACCAAGCCCCAGCGACCCAGGGCAACUCGGAGCUACCUCGGGCAGCCCUGCGGGUCUCCGAGGAGAACCGAGGAGACGGGAGAAACAUGGGAGAGGGUGGCCUUUUCCCUGUUCACACACACAUGCACGCAGCCACUGGCCGGGACAGUUGACACCCAUCUUCCUUCCCUGCUCCUUCCAGUCAUUCUACACCCGCUUGGUGCUGCCAGUGCGGGCAGGGCCUUGGAGCCCAAAGCGGAUCCCCACACUUGUCCCUACGGUCGGAAGGAAAGUAGAGGAGAGAAAGUCAGGCGCGGCAGGGCUAAGAGCAAUAGUGGCCCAAAUGUUCCUGGCCCGCCUGCUGCGCCACAGAGUCUGAAAAGCGGGUCUCCGUCUACCAGAAGGUGACCUCCACACAGCCCCUCUCCCCGACCAACUGCAGCACCCAAGGACUGGCAACGUGGUUGGAGCUUUUGGGGGGAAUUAUGAAGAAAUCUGAAUAAAUUUCUCACCCUUCA
rnacentral:lncRNA from 1 species